rnacentral:lncRNA from 1 species
CAUUUUGGGCCGAAAGCAACGUAAAGCUGCAAGCAGCGCUCACCCACCCUCAGAGCUGGUGAGGGCGGGAAGGGGGUGGGAGAACCCGCAGAGAGUCCCCCGGGUCCGGGGUUCACUCCGUGCAGACCUGCUGGGAAGCGUCUGGUGAGACGCGCGGUCCCCUCAGCGGGACAGGCAGCUGCUGAGGGUGAGGGUGGCGUCCGGAGAGGGGGGACGGGGCUUCGAGGUGGGCGCCCCGGGACCCCAGCUGUGCGGCGCUCUGGUCAGACCCGACUGCAGCGCCAGAAAGAUCCGGGCUCGGCACCUGCCCCGCCACGAGGCAGCCGUGUGUCACGCGGCGGCCUAAGUGGCCGCGAGGCCUCAACUUUCUCCUCUGGAAAACGGGCCAACAGUAGGAGGCGCCUCCAGGCUGCGCAGGAAUUCUAGGCGGCAGCAUCCUGCGGGGCUGCGCGGGCCGCCCGGCGCCUGGGCCGUCUCCGUGCACGGUCUCUGUUGCAACUGCGGCUCCCCACCCGCUUCGCCCCUCGCGAGGGAAGCCUGGAGGGAAGCGUCGCAGGAAGGCGGCCUCCCCGCGCAGCUCCCGCGCCUCCCCGCCCGCCUGCCUUCCUCCGCGGGAAACUCCUUUCCUGCGGGGCUCGCAGCGGGGACUCGCCCGGGAAAGACGGGGUGCCUGACCCCACCCUUCAGGGGGUUCUCCAGGUGGUCCGGGGCACGGGGUCGGCGUCCGCUGGUGCCAGUUCCCCCAGAGGGAGGCCCAGCCCCACCGAGCCCCCCUAAGGAAGGAAGAACGUUCUGAAAAUUGGGAACUGCUCUCCCUUAUUACGUCCAAACCGUAAACUGAUAUUUGGGCCUUUUAAAGGACUUGGGAAAUCUGAAAUUGAGGAGUAAGGAUUUAAAGGAAGCCUUGGGGGGUCGGGUCGUUCGCCUCCGGGAAGCUCUGAAGCGCCUUCAUCUGCCCCUGGGGCAGCGUGUCCCCCGACCCGGCAUCCUGGCGGCAUCUUGUGCCUUCUUGCGCAACUGAUACUUCUGUGCCUCUUUUAAAAUGUAUUUGGAGAAAUAUUUAGGGUACAGGAAAAAAUAAAGCGUCAAUUUAAGGAACAAGACUAUUCGAGGUAAAGGGUUGGCUUCUAAGAUGCUUGAAAGAAAGUUUUAAAUUUGCGUUUGGCACCUAAGAAAAUUAAACAAAAACCUGGCUGUUUAUGCAACCAAAGCGACAUGAGCAUUCAUGUGGAACUUCCCAGUCAUUGCUCCUAUCACGCAUGUUCAUGUAUACGGUGCUCUACAGUAUACAAAAAAUGUCACACACUCUCACAGCAGCGCUAGGCGGGGAGCAGGUGUUAUAAUCCUUAUUUUACCAACAAGGAAGCUGGGGCUCAGGGAGUCAAAUUUUGCUUAAAGAAAAUGUAAAAUGGCAAGAACUUGAACUUGGGACUUGGGGCUUUGGUCCCAAUACCCUUCCCACAACACUGGGUCACCUUUAACCCGCCGUGGGGCCUAGGCCACCGGUCAGCUUUCUGUGCCUCGGUUUCCCGGUCUGUGAGAUGAGAACCUCCCCGGCCUCCUUUCAGGGAUGCGGGGACAGGCCUUCCAGGCCCAAGUCUGUCUAUCACGUGACCAAGAUUUCCAGGAACCGGGUGUCAUGAGCCCAAAUGAAACACUCUGCAGUGAAAUACCGUGGCGCCCUGUCUGCGCAGGCUGCCCCAGCUCUGCGGAGACCCCCGCGAAGCUUCCACAUGACACAGGUUGCCAGAGGCCAGCACAGAAAGGCUACGCCGCUGGCAGAUGGCCUGGAAGCUGGGAGUAACUGCGAACAGCUCGUUGUUCCAGGGCUGGGGGACCUGGAGAAGCGGCAGGGAGGCAAGGAAGGACACACACUUGCCGUCAGGGCCUGAAUUCCCUGAAGCUUUAAAUGAGGAGCUAAGUUGUGUCGUCGAAGUGGAUGAAACUCAACAGCUGUGCAAUUCUAGAAGAAUGUACAGUUUUGAAAUGUCUAGGAAAAUACCAUUUCUCCUUUUUAUUUAUUUAUUACAGAAGCAUAUCUAUUGUCAAAAUAACGGAUAGAGAAGUGCAGAAUUAGAAGCUUUACAAUGUAUCAGCGAUACCUGCGCACACAGCCCUCGGAUUUCCCCCCAGCUUUAUUGAGAUAUACUUGACAGGUAAGAGUUGUGUAUCUGAGGUGCUCAACGUGAUGAUUUCAUAUAUGAAUACAUGGUGAAAUGAUUACCAGGACCAAGCUAAUUAAUAUAUCCAUUACCUCACAGAGCUCCCUUCUUCAGCUGUGGCCAGAUCUACUCUCUUAGCAAAUUUCAAGACUACAAGACAGUGUUAUUAACCAGAAUCCCCACACCUCACAUUGGACCCCCAGAACCUGUUCAUCCUCCAUAACCGCAACUUUGUACCCCUUGACCAAUACCUCCCCAUUUCCUCCAAGCCCCAACCUCUGAUAGCCACCAUUCUAAUCUCUGCUUUUAUGAGUUCAGCUCUUUCAGAGACCUCGCCUUCUUUUAAAGCACGGAGAGGAUUCCAUUGUAUGGAUAUACCGGAGAGGAUUCCAUUGUAUGGAUAUACCGUAGUUUCUUCAACCACUCCCUAUGCAGAUAUAGGUUACUUCUGUUGUUUUUUCCCUCUUUUUUACAAAUAAUGCUUCAGUGGAUAAUAAGGAUGGUUUACCAAUAUGAAAGAAAACAAUCUAGGGAUAAAUGGGCCAGAGCAAAUUUGGGAAAUUUGGUGCAAAACAAAACCCUACGAGUGAGCCCAGCAUGGGCAUCAGAGAGAGGGGACCCUCCCAGCUUAGCCCCUCGCUGUGUCGGAUCUGAGGGACCCCCAGCACCAAUAGAAC